GAUGUUAAUCUGAACUCGUGCUCCCUGCCAGCAGUCAGUGCCAGCAACCUCUGUGGGAAAGUGAGCAAGGAACCUGCUUUCUGCUGCUUGGAUGGACCAAGUGACAUCUGCACUGUGGUUUGUGGAAGCAAGGGGAUUCUGGCUUAGUCUUAAUUCCUUGUGGCAUCUUCCCCUCCCACUGGUUCUGCCUCAUUUGGGCCCAGACUGAGCCUGAGUCGGUGCCAUUCAUCUGAGAGCAAAUCUCCUGGUGGAACUGGAAAAGUGGUUGGGUCUCCAGGUGCUUUUAAGACCCUCAAUACAAGGGCCUCUGGGGAUGGGAGGAGGUAGCCUGAGUCAUGAGAGAGGAACUGCUACUCCACCUAUUCCUCCUUGGUCUAGCAGGGGAGACAGCUCAAUCCCAGAGAUCUAGCCUACAGGCGAUGAGUCAGCCAUUGUCCAGAGAGUCUCCACGGGACAAACAUCAUCACAUCUUCUUUCCUUGGCUAUCUUCUCAGCAACUUCAUCCUUCAGCUGGCCUGGCAGCUUCUACUCCUGUUUUGUUUGCCACCUCCUGGUCGUGAAGUGCUGUCGCUGGAAGGGGAAGUGUUGAUGGUGCCUCUCAGUCUAUUCUACCUAAUUUUAAACCUUUGUAAAAGGGUUUCCUUUUCUGUCUUUGUGGUUUCAUUGUGCUCUGUUUUAAAUUAGGAAUAGAAAAAGUCACGUGAGGAAAGCUGUUGUCUGAUGUUUGGUGCUGUGGUGAGAUGCGCUAUUGUGUGAUGAAGACCUUGUGCCAGAACAGCCCUGUUCUACUGAUGGUCAUCCUCUCUGCAAGGGACAGGUUUUUCUUUCCUACAGCAGUUCCCCAAAGGAGCAGGGAGGAGGCAGGAGUGGGAUGGGAUGACACGUUUCUCUUCCCAGUUGAAUGUUGCCAGUCAAGAGGCUCUUUGAGAAGUGUGCCGGCGCACCGAUAACACAGACAUGUUUCAGGAAGCGGUUCCCAGAACUGGCUUGACACUGCUGUGACCUGGACCAACUGCUGUCCUUGCAAAAGAAAGAAAAGUGAAGCCAGGGGUCAAAAAACAGGAACAGGCAUUGAGGAAACGAUCCCUCACUAAAAUUAAUGAACUCGCAGGAUAACAUGCCAUUCAGGGCAUUGACUAAUCUUGCCAGAUGAAGCUAAUCCUCCUAAAUGCCAGCUCCAUGAGGAGAUGUGAUAAAAGAAGGGAACCACAGAAGUACUGUGAAAUUCUAAAUGCUGAUCAAACCCUGCUAGUGCAGGCACUGGCCUCUGCCAUUCCACCCAUAUGGCAAUGGUGUGUGGUCCUCCCUUCAGGGUGAAAUUAAGCAGCCAUAGCAGAGGCAUACCUGGCUAAGAAGUCAAUCAGUCAUCUGUGGGGUGUCUCUGAAGCAAGCACCAGUGAAGUGUGAAGGCAUGCUACCAAAAGAGAUCUCAUUGGAUGUCUUGCCCCUCCAUUUUCUCCAUUAAAAAGGACGUUUUCAUGAGCUGUGCCCAUGCUUCUCCAAACAGAAAGUUUCCAGCACUUUUUGUACAACUGGCAUUGUUGCUUUCCCUCCUGCCCCAGGUGAUGCUCGGGUCAUCGCUUGGGCUGCACCCCGAAAUGGAGACAGAGCUGACAGCAGCAAGACAGAAGUAGACAAACAUCCAAGCUUUGUGGUUUAACUGUCCUUACCACAACCUCAGGAGGGUAUUGAAUCAGCUGUGAUCACCGCACAACGUUUGGUCUAGCUCCUUUCAUGCACUGGGAGCCUCCCCAGGUCUUCCCGACACAAUGUGAUUCUCUAAGUGUCUGUCCAUCUUCACGUCCCAUGGUUGUCUUGGUGGUAGGAACUUCAUUUUUGCUAUGUCUGAAAAGACCAGCAGUUCACUUGGAUCAGAUCUCGCUUCCUUCUUCUGCUGAGCCAGGGAAUCCUGAGGUCCACUCAUCUCUCCAGCUUCUAGUUUUAUCCAAUAGCAGAGGAUUCCCCAGGCUGGGGAAAGCAUCCAGGCUUGCUAUGGUCUUCCCUGUUACUGCUGGAUCAUAUGAAGCUACCAAAGAGUAUGGAAGGCGGCUGAGUCUUCUGGAUCCACACUGUUGGAGCAAGCAAAAUAACUUCUGACCUAGCAGGACCCAGAUUCCUUGGGAUAUCUAAUCACAUAAUUCACAUUUUGACAGCUCAAGAUAGGAAAAUGAAUUCCUCGGCCCAUCAUUCCCUUGUGGCUGGGGGUUUCUGGCUCCACACUAUGGAUGCUUCAAGCAGGUCUGUGUAAAAUGAAAUGCUGAUUGCAAGCAGUAUUUCAUUGUUCUAAAUCACUGACAGGGAGGCUUCUUGGAAAGAAACACUCUCCUUUAAGAAAUAUCUUCUGGUCCAGCUUCAAAUGUAGCAGGGACUGUCCUACUGUGCAUGCACAGCACAGGGGGAAAUCAUCUUCCAUGCUGGGAUGCAGUGUCUCUUCAUCCAGUCUUCCCAAGGCCAGGAAGAUCUUCUCAGUUGAGUCUCAGUUGGAUUUGAUAAUCCUUAAAGGUCCUUUUCAACUCCAGGUGUUCUAUGAUUCAGUGUUGGUGGGUAUAUACUGCCUUUUAAAGCCCAAAGGCCAUAUAACCUUUGAGAAGAAUAGGGAUACUGUGAAGGAAAGCUGAGAUGCUUCAGUACUUGACAGAUUGAAACCAGGUGGUGAAGUGUGGUCCUCACCUAAUGAAAGCUUCAACCCACUGCUUGCUAGAAAAGAGUAAGGAGAACGAUGAAGGGAAAGAGAAGAGCUGUGGUCAUGUUGAAAGAGUUUGACCCAAUCUCCUCCCCAGCAGAAGCAAAGUGGCUUUUGAGAGUUCUGAUGCUUUGUGAACGUUUUGUGAACAAGUGCCUGUUUUGGAUGAUGGAAGAUGGCAGGGUACAGAAUGAGCUGGUGAUGCGCAUGAAUAGCUGUGGGCCUUAUUCACCUUUGCUAGCUGAAGUAGCUGAUUCCCACCUAGUUAGCAUCAGCGAGGUCUUCUCCUUUCAGCCAAUGUCUUGGCCAGGGCAGUGUGACUGCUGUAGGAGGAAUGCAUUUAAAAGGCUGAGAAAGAAAUGCUGCCCCAAGAGCAGCAUAAAAUGAACCAAACCCUGUCAAGGUGUGAUCUUUCCUGCCAGGCACUUAACUUCAGCUGUAUAACACUAACAAAACAUCAUGAGAAGAAUCUGAAACCAAACUCUCCUCCCCCUGUCAGGGCCGCCAUAAAUCACUUUCAUGCUCUGCACUUGUCUGCAGACCAAACUGUUCCUUGCCAAGGCUGUAACCCUGCGGGGAUGAAAUCGCAGAGGAGAGUCCUUAGAAGUAAGAGUCCCCUGUUUCCUUGUGUGCAUCUCAUUUUGUUAUUCCUGUUGUACCACCCAUUUUCUAAUAUCUGUAAUUUAAAAGCAAUAUUGGUA